rnacentral:rRNA from 1 species
AACCAACAGGGAUUGCCCUAGUAACGGCGAGUGAAGCGGCAACAGCUCAAAUUUGAAAUCUGGCUCUUUCAGAGUCCGAGUUGUAAUUUGCAGAGGGCGCUUUGGCUUUGGCAGCGGUCCAAGUUCCUUGGAACAGGACGUCACAGAGGGUGAGAAUCCCGUACGUGGUCGCUAGCUAUUGCCGUGUAAAGCCCCUUCGACGAGUCGAGUUGUUUGGGAAUGCAGCUCUAAAUGGGAGGUAAAUUUCUUCUAAAGCUAAAUAUUGGCCAGAGACCGAUAGCGCACAAGUAGAGUGAUCGAAAGAUGAAAAGCACUUUGGAAAGAGAGUCAAACAGCACGUGAAAUUGUUGAAAGGGAAGCGCUUGCAGCCAGACUUGCUUGCAGUUGCUCAUCCGGGCUUUUGCCCGGUGCACUCUUCUGUAGGCAGGCCAGCAUCAGUUUGGGCGGUGGGAUAAAGGUCUCUGACACGUUCCUUCCUUCGGGUUGGCCAUAUAGGGGAGACGACAUACCACCAGCCUGGACUGAGGUCCGCGCAUCUGCUAGGAUGCUGGCGUAAUGGCUGUAAGCGGCCCGUCUUGAAACACGGACCAAGGAGUCUAACAUCUAUGCGAGUGUUUGGGUGUCAAGCCCGAACGCGUAAUGAAAGUGAACGGAGGUGGGAACCCGCAAGGGCGCACCAUCGACCGAUCCUGAAGUUUACGGAAGGAUUUGAGUAAGAGCAUGGCUGUUGGGACCCGAAAGAUGGUGAACUAUGCUUGAAUAGGGUGAAGCCAGAGGAAACUCUGGUGGAGGCUCGCAGCGGUUCUGACGUGCAAAUCGAUCGUCAAAUUUGGGCAUAGGGGCGAAAGACUAA